AACGAACGCUGGCGGCAUGCCUAACACAUGCAAGUCGAACGAGACCUUCGGGUCUAGUGGCGCACGGGUGCGUAACGCGUGGGAACCUGCCCUUGGGUUCGGAAUAACAGUUAGAAAUGACUGCUAAUGCCGGAUGAUGACGUAAGUCCAAAGAUUUAUCGCCCAAGGAUGAGCCCGCGUAGGAUUAGCUUGUUGGUGAGGUAAAAGCUCACCAAGGCGACGAUCCUUAGCUGGUCUGAGAGGAUGAUCAGCCACACUGGGACUGAGACACGGCCCAGACUCCUACGGGAGGCAGCAGUGGGGAAUAUUGGACAAUGGGCGAAAGCCUGAUCCAGCAAUGCCGCGUGAGUGAUGAAGGCCUUAGGGUUGUAAAGCUCUUUUACCCGGGAUGAUAAUGACAGUACCGGGAGAAUAAGCCCCGGCUAACUCCGUGCCAGCCGCCGCCGUAACAC
rnacentral:rRNA from 1 species